rnacentral:rRNA from 1 species
UACGGAGGGAGCUAGCGUUGUUCGGAAUUACUGGGCGUAAAGCGCGCGUAGGCGGCUUUGUAAGUUAGAGGUGAAAGCCUGGAGCUCAACUUCAGAAUUGCCUUUAAGACUGCAUCGCUAGAAUCCAGGAGAGGUGAGUGGAAUUCCGAGUGUAGAGGUGAAAUUCGUAGAUAUUCGGAAGAACACCAGUGGCGAAGGCGGCUCUCUGGACUGUAACUGACGCUGAGGCGGCGAAAGCGUGGGGAGCAAACAGG